rnacentral:RNase_P_RNA from 1 species
UGAGUAAGCCAGAUGAUCGCAUCUAAAGAUUUAGAUGAGGAAAGUCCGAGCUCCGAAGGGCAGGGUGCUGGGUAACACCCAGUGGAGGCAACUCCAAGGAUAGUGCAACAGAAAGAUACCGCCCUGGAUUCAUUCCAAUAUGGGAUCAUCUGAUUCCAUAUAGAUUGGUUUCAGGGUAAGGGUGGAAAGGUGAGGUAAAAGCUCACCAGCAUUUAGGCGACUAAAUUGGCUAUGUAAACCCCACCUGGAGCAAGACCGAAUAGGGGAUAUAAAGUGGUUGCCCGCCACAUCCCGGGUAAAGGUCGCUCGAGUCUUCCGGUAACGGUAGACCUAGAUAGAUGAUCAUCCACGACAGAACUCGGCUUAUGGCUUGCUCAUUAU